rnacentral:rRNA from 1 species
GCAGUAGAACGCUGAAGAGAGGAGCUUGCUCUUCUUGGAUGAGUUGCGAACGGGUGAGUAACGCGUAGGUAACCUGCCUUGUAGCGGGGGAUAACUAUUGGAAACGAUAGCUAAUACCGCAUAACAAUGGAUGACACAUGUCAUUUAUUUGAAAGGGGCAAUUGCUCCACUACAAGAUGGACCUGCGUUGUAUUAGCUAGUAGGUGAGGUAACGGCUCACCUAGGCGACGAUACAUAGCCGACCUGAGAGGGUGAUCGGCCACACUGGGACUGAGACACGGCCCAGACUCCUACGGGAGGCAGCAGUAGGGAAUCUUCGGCAAUGGGGGCAACCCUGACCGAGCAACGCCGCGUGAGUGAAGAAGGUUUUCGGAUCGUAAAGCUCUGUUGUAAGUCAAGAACGAGUGUGAGAGUGGAAAGUUCACACUGUGACGGUAGCUUACCAGAAAGGGACGGCUAACUACGUGCCAGCAGCCGCGGUAAUACGUAGGUCCCGAGCGUUGUCCGGAUUUAUUGGGCGUAAAGCGAGCGCAGGCGGUUUGAUAAGUCUGAAGUUAAAGGCUGUGGCUCAACCAUAGUUCGCUUUGGAAACUGUCAAACUUGAGUGCAGAAGGGGAGAGUGGAAUUCCAUGUGUAGCGGUGAAAUGCGUAGAUAUAUGGAGGAACACCGGUGGCGAAAGCGGCUCUCUGGUCUGUAACUGACGCUGAGGCUCGAAAGCGUGGGGAGCGAACAGGAUUAGAUACCCUGGUAGUCCACGCCGUAAACGAUGAGUGCUAGGUGUUGGAUCCUUUCCGGGAUUCAGUGCCGCAGCUAACGCAUUAAGCACUCCGCCUGGGGAGUACGACCGCAAGGUUGAAACUCAAAGGAAUUGACGGGGGCCCGCACAAGCGGUGGAGCAUGUGGUUUAAUUCGAAGCAACGCGAAGAACCUUACCAGGUCUUGACAUCCCGAUGCUAUUUCUAGAGAUAGAAAGUUACUUCGGUACAUCGGUGACAGGUGGUGCAUGGUUGUCGUCAGCUCGUGUCGUGAGAUGUUGGGUUAAGUCCCGCAACGAGCGCAACCCCUAUUGUUAGUUGCCAUCAUUCAGUUGGGCACUCUAGCGAGACUGCCGGUAAUAAACCGGAGGAAGGUGGGGAUGACGUCAAAUCAUCAUGCCCCUUAUGACCUGGGCUACACACGUGCUACAAUGGUUGGUACAACGAGUUGCGAGUCGGUGACGGCAAGCUAAUCUCUUAAAGCCAAUCUCAGUUCGGAUUGUAGGCUGCAACUCGCCUACAUGAAGUCGGAAUCGCUAGUAAUCGCGGAUCAGCACGCCGCGGUGAAUACGUUCCCGGGCCUUGUACACACCGCCCGUCACACCACGAGAGUUUGUAACACCCGAAGUCGGUGAGGUAACCUUUUGGAGCCAGCCGCCUAAG